rnacentral:rRNA from 1 species
AUUGAACGCUGGCGGCAUGCCUUACACAUGCAAGUCGAACGCGAAAGCGGGGCAACCCGCAAGUAGAGUGGCGAACGGGUGAGUAAUACAUCGGAACAUUUCCAGUAGCGGGGGAUAACCUGUCGAAAGAUAGGCUAAUACCGCAUACGCCCUACGGGGGAAAGCGGAGGACCGCAAGGCUUCGCACUAUUGGAGUGGCCGAUGUCGGAUUAGCUAGUUGGCGGGGUAAAAGCCCACCAAGGCAACGAUCCGUAGCUGGUCUGAGAGGACGAUCAGCCACACUGGAACGGAGACACGGUCCAGACUCCUACGGGAGGCAGCGGUGGGGAAUUGUGGACAAUGGGCGCAAGCCUGAUCCAGCCAUGCCGCGUGAGUGAAGAAGGCCUUCGGGUUGUAAAGCUCUUUCGGCGGGGACGAAAAGGUUCGUGCUAAUACCGCGGACUAAUGACGGUACCCGAAGAAGAAGCACCGGCUAACUACGUGCCAGCAGCCGCGGUAA